CGUGUAGGCGGUUUGGCAAGUCGAGUGUGAAAUCCCACGGCUCAACCGUGGAACUGCGCUCGAAACUGCCUUACUUGAGUGCGGGAGAGGUGUGCGGAAUUCCUGGUGUAGCGGUGGAAUGCGUAGAUAUCAGGAAGAACACCGGUGGCGAAGGCGUCCAUCUGGCCCAAUACUGACGCUGAGGCGCGAAAGCUAGGGGAGCAAACG
rnacentral:rRNA from 1 species